rnacentral:rRNA from 1 species
CCUACGGGAGGCAGCAGUGGGGAAUUUUGGACAAUGGGCGAAAGCCUGAUCCAGCAAUGCCGCGUGAGUGAAGAAGGCCUUCGGGUUGUAAAGCUCUUUUGUCAGGGAAGAAACGGUGAAAGCUAAUAUCUUUUGCUAAUGACGGUACCUGAAGAAUAAGCACCGGCUAACUACGUGCCAGCAGCCGCGGUAAUACGUAGGGUGCAAGCGUUAAUCGGAAUUACUGGGCGUAAAGCGUGCGCAGGCGGUUUUGUAAGUCUGAUGUGAAAUCCCCGGGCUCAACCUGGGAAUUGCAUUGGAGACUGCAAGGCUAGAAUCUGGCAGAGGGGGGUAGAAUUCCACGUGUAGCAGUGAAAUGCGUAGAUAUGUGGAGGAACACCGAUGGCGAAGGCAGCCCCCUGGGUCAAGAUUGACGCUCAUGCACGAAAGCGUGGGGAGCAAACAGGAUUAGAUACCCUGGUAGUCCACGCCCUAAACGAUGUCUACUAGUUGUCGGGUCUUAAUUGACUUGGUAACGCAGCUACGCGUGAGUAGACCGCCGUCGGGAGGUACGGUCGCGAGAGUUAAACGUAACGAAAGAAAGUUAGUACGGCGUGAGACGUAGACCGACGGACGACGACGAGGGGAGGAGG